AAUAAACUAUUAGAGCUUUUAAAUAAAUAGAUCAAUAAAAUAAUUAUAAUAAAAUUAAAAAUGAUUUCGACUGAAUGCAAAAUUUAAAUUCACUUUUAUAAAUCCAAAAAAAGUGAAUAUCGUCAAUAAAACAAAUUAAUAAACAUGUAUAAUUUAACAAAAUUUUAUCUGCUUACGAAACACAUAAGUGAAGAUAGCCAUUUACAGUCUAUAAAAACGGAGGAUGAAAAUAAUUAAAAAGUUUAAUUUUUGUAUUUUAUACAUUAUUCGCAUAUACCUAAUAUACAAUACAAAAUUUAAAUUUCUCGUGCAUGUACAGCUAAUGAUUUUACAAUUGAUGUAUAUUCAAGGUUAUUCAUCUGAGAUGCUCGUUUACCUUUUACAUUUAUUUAUUUUAAUAUUCAAAUUGUUUUUCUUAUAAAUAUCAGAUAUUAUGUCAGUAAUAUAAUAAAAUAUGCUUAUUAUAAUUAUUUUACAUAGUAUUAAUAGUAUUAUGUAUUUUGCAUUACAACUAAAUCUAAUUCGAAGGAUGUUCAUAUUUUUUAUCAUAUUAUUAUUUUCACAAAUUUAAAUUUAAAAAAAAAACACUGUAUAUGAUGAUUGGAUGUUAGGUAUUUACUUCGUAUUUAUUUAAUUUCCAUUUCCUACAACUCGGCACAGGCAGUAAUAUAUGUUAUUAUAAUAUGAAAUGAAUUCGGGAAACAAUUCUGAAUGGGAUUCAAAAUCAAAACAGCUCUUGUUUGUAUAGCUUUAACGUGUUCAACGGUUGUUGGUUACCUUUUUUUUCUUAGACUAUUGGAAAAUAGAUCUCUAAAGUCAAUAUACCACCAAGUAUAAAGGUCCUUAUAGAAACUUUAAAAGCGCCUUAGGCUUAUAAAAAUGUACAUAUAGUAAUUAGAUAAAAUAUGUUUUUAUGACCGUUGUAAAACCAUAUUAAUUAAUAAUUAUUACAUAUUAUCAUACUUCAUUCAAAAUGUUAAUAAUAUAAAAAUUUCAUCUAAAGAUGUUUUAUAGUAGGUAAUUAGUUAUGAUUUAUAUGAUUUAUAUUUUUAAAGUAAGUGAAACAAGAACUUAAGUUGAAGGUAUUAUUAUAGAACAUUCACGUGCUUAUUCUUCGACGUAUAUAAUCACGAAUAAUAUCCAUACAAAAACUUGCUAGUCAUCGCUGAACCUAAUUAUAAUUUUAUUGUUUUUCUCUCUUAAAUAAAGUUAAAUAGAUUUAAUUUCGACUAAUUGUAAUAACUAAAAACAUUGUCAUUGAGUUCAUCCCGUUUAAAUAAAUAAAUAAAAACUAGUAGAGCAUACGUCGUAACAAAAAAGUAAACUUUUCUAUCCAUUUUAAGCGUAAUGAUAUAAUAUAGGUACCAAUGCACCGUCGUCAAUACCUCACUGCGAUUUAUGUAUUGAUGUCACGGAUGAGCAUCGACGUAUUCAUUAAUCACUAAUCAGUAUAUUUUAUUAUUAUAGGUAUUGCUCCAUGGCCUGCAGUUGCUGAAUCUAAGAAAUCACAUCGACAUCGUUUAACCUACCAAAAGCACCUGAGAGUAUGCCGUACAGCAAUAUUAUAAUCGCAUACGAUAAGUCGGCCCUCGAGUACUUUUAAACAAACACUCGUCAGUCGUCGACUCAACAAUCGCACGCUGGUUUAGUUUUAAAUUCAAUUUAGACAAAACGUAUAUGGUUUGAAGCUAAGUGAUUUUAAGAUUUAACAUAAUAAAAACUUGGCCAACGAGUUCCGCCAAGGUUCUCGAGACUUAUUCGAGUACCUCUACCUAACGCAAUUAUUCCUCAUAACGAGAAUGACAUUUUAUUUUUGCUAUCAUUAUGAUCGUAAACUAUAAUAUUCCACGUUUUACUCGAAUGUAAUUAUGACAUUCUGCGGCAUUCGAUAUUAUUUGCCGAAUUUUUAAUAAUUAUACAUACGAGUAAGGUGUCAUCAUCGAUUAUAAUUUAUAAACACUUUAUAGGAACGUCAUUCGUAACGAGCGUAACUAAACUAUCAAAAUCAAAUAUUAAUUAUUUUAUCAUCAUUAUGGACUAUCGCUUUUUUAAUAUAAUCAAACGCUGCAAUAGUCAUUGUAAACACUAACUCUACACAAUAAGUCUAAUGCAAUUCGAAAAACAUAAUAAUACGUAUCUAUAAUACCUAAUGAAAAAAAAUUUAUUCGCACGAGUACAUUAUGCAAUGCACUGUUGCGUCAAAUGGCUACAGAAACUGCGAAUUAUUAUUCUAAAAUAAAUAUAUAUAUAUUUAUAAUGAAUGAUUUCGGUAUCAUCGUGCGAUAUAACAUUGUAAUGCGUAUUUACCAGUUGACUAAACCUAUAUAGGUACUCAAAAUGCGUCUAAUUUGUUAUAAUUAUUAUUGGCAAUUUAAUUAUAUAUUUCGUAUGUAUAUGGUUUAAUCGUACCUGUAUCUAUAAUAACAUGUACGUAUACACAGCGUCUCAUCGAUAGUGUGACCUUUUCGAUCGAAAACGAUUCUAGGCAAUCGGGUUUCCAUAUAAAAAUUACGUGUGUGCGCGCACACACGAUAAACAUAAACUUGUGCACAACUUUGAUAUACGUACCUUGGUACUCGUGAUAAAAUGUAAUUUUUAAUUUUUAUACUCUUAGGAAACCAUGAAAUUUACAAUCGUUUGACUAUCACGGUUUUUUUUUUUUUUUUUAGACGUCUUUUUCAAUAACUCAAGAGUUCUGUGUUUACACUUUACAGUAUACGAGAUGUUAUGUAACUACACGCGUACGGCGAAUAGAAGGUAAACUGUUGUAAGUGACACUUUUUUCAGGAAAAUUGAAAAUCAAUUAUUACUUUCAUAUUAUGGUAUGCUGUUUUCAAAAAUCGUUUUCGAUAUCUAUUAUAAACGAUAACAAACUAUUUAACCUACCUCGUUUAUGUUCGCAAACAAACGAUUUUAAUAAUAUAGUAUAGGUAAAUUGGAUGCAUUUUAAAACAAGUUUAUACUUUCAAUUUUUUGAAAAACUAUAAAAGAGGGACACUCGAUAUAAGAAAAAAUCACCAUGAUCUUGAAAUGGGCGUAUGCAAUUUGCGUUAAUUUUGGUAAUUUGCGUCACUUUUUAAAUUUGUAGUUUGUGCCACAUAAAACUAAAUAAAAUAGCAUUAUGUAAUCUCCGUCAUCUUUUACCGUAAAAAAUUGAAAUUUGCACCACUUUAAAUAACUAAGCAUUUUUUUUUUUACAGAUUAACGUAUUGUAUUUUUAAUACCUACUUUACGUAUAUUGUCUAAUACAAUAUUGUUUUUCAUACUAUUAUAAUUUAUAUUUAUAUUUUAUAUGCCUAAAACAACAAACCUAUAAUACAUAUACAAUACCUAGUGUAUUCGCCUUUUUUAAAUAUAUAAAAACUAUAUAUAUUAACAUUAUAUAUUUGUAACAUUAAGAUGAAACUAAACUUUGUCUAUCAAUUUUUCUUUUGUCUGUAAUCUUCAUACAUUUUUUUUAAGUUAUAUUAAUCUAGAUUAGGCAUGUGUCGGUAAUCGAUAUUAUAGUAUAGCUGAUGCGAUAUUAGUGAAAUAGGACAUAUAAGGACUAUGCAGUUAAACAACUUCCGCAAAAUAGUUUUAUAAGUACUAAAAUAUUUCUAAAAUAAUGUUUUAAAAAUUGUAUUAAUGAUCUUUAUAAGUGAGUACUUUUAUUAUUUAUAGCAAUCUCACAGGAGGGACUCAAAUCGUUUUCAACAAAAAUGAAAAAAAUUUCGCUUCAUCUAAGAGAUAGUAUAAUCACACAUAUCUAUAGACUAUAAGUAUAUAAAAUAUCUACAUACACACUGCGCACUGUAUAUAGAGGGAUUUUUGCCUCUUCUAGUCAGUGAAUGUUUUACAUGGCCGGAAGACCUCGUCCUAGUUCCGGCUUAAUAGACAAAUAAAAAAUGACAAGUAUGUACGAACGUAAUUAAUAAUAAUCAGCCAACAACAAUGAUACGAGAAUAAAACUAACGCGUGUUUAUAUGUACGUUUCGGCAACCAUCGUGACGUACAGACGCACUGUAUAUAUAUACAUGUACGUCAUACUUCAACUCAUAUAUUAUAAUAUAUAUUAUGUACUUUACCGCUGCA